rnacentral:lncRNA from 13 species
GGCACCAUACAACAGAUGACCUUCAUAAUGGGUGAUCCUACAGCAGCCAGACAGCACUGUCAAGACUACAACUCCACCUGCAUCCCUCACACAGACAAACAGGUAUGGUCCACAGGUCUAUAGCAGGUGUAGGGCUUAAACUGACCAUCAAUAAUGCUAUAUGUAACUGAUAAGAAUAAUGUUUUGUUUGUGUGACACCAAUGCUUGGAAUUUUAACUUCACCACAAUUCCAUGUCUGUCUGUUCGAGUGGCUCCAUAGGGUCAUGAAAACAGUCUGCAUGAGAGUGCAAGGUUUAUGAAAGAAUAAUAACCUGUAUUUGAGGGCGGUCUUCUUUUAAGCACACUCUUUUCUUUACAGGCAUAUAACAAUCCUGCUUAGAUUCUUAUUUUUAAAAUGGACAUGAGAAUUAACAUCUUACAUUAGUUUUUAUUUCAACUUAUUUUCCAGGAGAAAGUGAUUUUAGCUGCUGAGAAGGUGCUUGGUCGAGUUGCGACCAGGGCAACAUUAAGAGAAGAGUCUCAUGGACCCAGGCUGAGAGAUCAGACUGCAGAGCAGGACACAGCCAAGAACACUAACCUAUCAGCACAGUCAUUGCCAUCCGUAAGAGCUCAGUCAGUUCCAGAGACACAGAAAAAGACAAGGAUAACACCUGAAACAGACAAAUUAAAGCUCACUCAGAAGAUAGGAUGGCUGAAUGAAACUUCCACACUGCAGGAUGAUAAAGCAGCAAAGAUCACUAGAAACAGAACAGUAUAUUCACAAACCGCUGGAUCUCUUCAUCAGCCAAACCAAACCAAUACAGCCAGAGAUGUCUCUGGCAUGAAAGGUGUAGUAGUACCAUCUCAGACAGUGGAGACAGCCAUUCUCAGUCCCACUGCAUGGUCAGAAAACCCCACUGAACCAGCCCUGCUGAUCCAGGAGUCAGACAGUGAUGGAGAAUCAAUAGGCUCAGGGAGAAAUACAUCAGUGAGGUUAGAUGAUUUACAGAUCCCACCUAAACCCAAACAGGGCUUUGGGCCUACAAGACAAACAUGGUCCUUAGAACACACCAUAAAACCCAACCUUUUGGAAUUCAAGAAAAUAGAGGAGGAGCUACUGAGGCAGGCUGUGAUUCCUCUGCCUCCAGUGCUACCUCCAAAUAAUAGCACUGUCACAGGGAGAAAGACAGCACUGGAGGCAGAGGAGCCUCUGGGACAAUCUCCAACACAUCAAAACACCACUGGAAUCACUUCCACAUCAACAGGUGACAAAGCUUCAAAGAGACAAAGGGGCCAAAAGACUGUGACAAAGACUUUGACAGAUUCUGGACAAGUCAUGGAGAAGGGGGAUAAAGUUUUAUCCCAGGAGCCACCCACAGAGGAUCUAGAGACAGACACAGAAACAAAGACAGAGUUCGAGUCAGCAGAAGAGAUGGACACAGAAACAGAAAUGGAAGAAAUUGAUGAGGACAAUGAUAAGGAAUCAGAGACAGAGGAAACAGAUGUAGGCGACAGCAAGUUGGCACACAACAUCACUCAAGUCAACACAAGGCAGUUUAAAAAUAAUGGAGGAGCCGUCAAAACUGAUGUUCUAACUGAGCUCAUGUCCCCGGAGCCGAGAGGAUUAGAGCGGGAACUGCCGCCUACCCCUCUGCCUCCUGCCAGUGUGCCAGGUAAAGUACACAGCAUAUGUCCUUUGACACAGUACCCUCACAGCAUGCACCCCUCAGACUCUCUGUGGGCCGAGUUUUACUUCUGUUUCCUCAGAGACACUGAGCAGAGAGGUCAAAGGGUCAUCGCCAUGACAGCAGGGGCAAGGACUCAACCUCUGACACAGGGUCUGUCUCUGAAAGCUCAGAGGAUGCUGUACGAGUCCAGGAUGAACACCCUGUCCGUUCCUGUCGUUUCAGCCAAUCAUCAACCAAGACACGCACUCAAAGAGCGAGGGACAGCCUAUAGACCGGGGCUUCGAGUGCAACAGGGACUUCAGGGUCCACCUGGUUUGACAGGGCCACCUGGACCAAAAGGGGAUAAAGGCUACGCUGGCGGGAUGGGCCGGACUGGACGCACAGGUUACCGAGGCCCCAUUGGUCCACCAGGGAUGCCCGCCAUCGUAGUGUUCAAGAGCUCUGAGGAAGAGUGGGAGAACUUCAAGGUGCUGUUAUACUGUGUUUCAUAG